rnacentral:rRNA from 1 species
AGCGAACGCUGGCGGCAGGCUUAACACAUGCAAGUCGAGCGGGCACUUUCGGGUGUCAGCGGCUGACGGGUGAGUAACGCGUGGGAACGUGCCCUCUGGUUCGGAAUAACUCAGGGAAACUUGAGCUAAUACCGGAUACGCCCUUUUGGGGAAAGGCUUGCUGCCGGAGGAUCGGCCCGCGUCUGAUUAGCUAGUUGGUGAGGUAACGGCUCACCAAGGCGACGAUCAGUAGCUGGUCUGAGAGGAUGAUCAGCCACACUGGGACUGAGACACGGCCCAGACUCCUACGGGAGGCAGCAGUGGGGAAUAUUGGACAAUGGGCGCAAGCCUGAUCCAGCCAUGCCGCGUGAGUGAUGAAGGCCUUAGGGUUGUAAAGCUCUUUUAUCCGGGACGAUAAUGACGGUACCGGAGGAAUAAGCCCCGGCUAACUUCGUG